rnacentral:rRNA from 1 species
UACAGAGGUCCCAAGCGUUGUUCGGAUUUACUGGGCGUAAAGGGUGCGUAGGUGGUUGGGUAAGUUUGAUGUGAAAUCUCCGGGCUUAACCCGGAAAUGGCAUUGAAUACUAUUCGGCUAGAGGUUUGGAGGGGGGACUGGAAUUCUUGGUGUAGCAGUGAAAUGCGUAGAUAUCAAGAGGAACACCAGUGGCGAAGGCGAGUCCCUGGACAACACCUGACACUGAGGCACGAAAGCUAGGGGAGCAAUCAGG